rnacentral:rRNA from 1 species
GACGAACGCUGGCGGCGUGCCUAAUACAUGCAAGUCGAGCGAAUCAAUGGGAGCUUGCUCCCUGAGAUUAGCGGCGGACGGGUGAGUAACACGUGGGUAACCUGCCUGUAAGACUGGGAUAACUUCGGGAAACCGGAGCUAAUACCGGAUACUUUCUUUUCUCGCAUGAGGGAAGAUGGAAAGAUGGUUCUGCUAUCACUUACAGAUGGACCCGCGGCGCAUUAGCUAGUUGGUGAGGUAACGGCUCACCAAGGCAACGAUGCGUAGCCGACCUGAGAGGGUGAUCGGCCACACUGGGACUGAGACACGGCCCAGACUCCUACGGGAGGCAGCAGUAGGGAAUCUUCCGCAAUGGACGAAAGUCUGACGGAGCAACGCCGCGUGAGCGAAGAAGGCCUUCGGGUCGUAAAGCUCUGUUGUUAGGGAAGAACAAGUACGAGAGUAACUGCUCGUACCUUGACGGUACCUAACCAGAAAGCCACGGCUAACUACGUGCCAGCCGCCGCAGUAAUAC